AGUGAACGCUGGCGGUAGGCCUAACACAUGCAAGUCGAACGGCAGCACAGUAAGAGCUUGCUCCUACGGGUGGCGAGUGGCGGACGGGUGAGGAAUACAUCGGAAUCUACUUUUUCGUGGGGGAUAACGUAGGGAAACUUACGCUAAUACCGCAUACGACCUACGUGUGAAAUCAUGGGAUCUUCGGACCUUGCGCGAUUGAAUGAGCCGAUGUCGGAUUAGCUAGUUGGCGGGGUAAAGGCCCACCAAGGCGACGAUCCGUAGCUGGUCUGAGAGGAUGAUCAGCCACACUGGAACUGAGACACGGUCCAGACUCCUACGGGAGGCAGCAGUGGGGAAUAUUGGACAAUGGGCGCAAGCCUGAUCCAGCCAUACCGCGUGGGUGAAGAAGGCCUUCGGGUUGUAAAGCCCUUUUGUUGGGAAAGAAAAGCAGCAGGUUAAUACCCCGCUGUUCUGACGGUACCCAAAGAAUAAGCACCGGCUAACUUCGUG
rnacentral:rRNA from 1 species